rnacentral:tRNA from 1 species
GGGCGUAGCUCAGUGGUAGAGCGCCUGCCUUCCAAGCAGGCUGUCGUGGGUUCGAUUCCCAUCGCCC